AUUGAACGCUGGCGGCAGGCCUAACACAUGCAAGUCGAGCGGAUGAAGGGAGCUUGCUCCUGGAUUCAGCGGCGGACGGGUGAGUAAUGCCUAGGAAUCUGCCUGGUAGUGGGGGAUAACGUCCGGAAACGGGCGCUAAUACCGCAUACGUCCUGAGGGAGAAAGUGGGGGAUCUUCGGACCUCACGCUAUCAGAUGAGCCUAGGUCGGAUUAGCUAGUUGGUGGGGUAAAGGCCGACCAAGGCGACGAUCCGUAACUGGUCUGAGAGGAUGAUCAGUCACACUGGAACUGAGACACGGUCCAGACUCCUACGGGAGGCAGCAGUGGGGAAUAUUGGACAAUGGGCGAAAGCCUGAUCCAGCCAUGCCGCGUGUGUGAAGAAGGUCUUCGGAUUGUAAAGCACUUUAAGUUGGGAGGAAGGACAGUAAGUUAAUACCUUGCUGUUUUGACGUUACCAACAGAAUAAGCACCGGCUAACUUCGUG
rnacentral:rRNA from 1 species